rnacentral:rRNA from 3 species
CACCGGCAGCCCAAGUGGUGGCCAUUUUUAUUGGGCCUAAAGCGUUCGUAGCCGGCCUGAUAAGUCUCUGGUGAAAUCCCGCAGCUUAACUGUGGGAAUUGCUGGAGAUACUAUCAGGCUUGAGGUCGGGAGAGGUUAGAGGUACUCCCAGGGUAGGGGUGAAAUCCUAUAAUCCUGGGAGGACCACCUGUGGCGAAGGCGUCUAACUGGAACGAACCUGACGGUGAGUAACGAAAGCCAGGGGCGCGAACCGG